rnacentral:rRNA from 1 species
GAUGAACGCUGGCGGCGUGCCUAAUACAUGCAAGUCGGGCGAACGGACGAGAAGCUUGCUUCUCUGAUGUUAGCGGGGGGCGGGUGAGUAACACGUGGAUAACAUACAUAUAAGACUGGGAAAACUUCGGGAAACCGGCGCUAAUAGCGGAUAAUAUUUUGCACCGCAUGGUUCAAAAGUGAAAGGCGGUUUUGGUGACACUUAUAGAUGGAUCCGCGCUGCAUUAGCUAGUUGGUAAGGUAACGGCUUACCAAGGCAACGAUGCAUAGCCGACCUGAGAGGGUGAUCGGCCACACUGGAACUGAGACACGGUCCAGACUCCUACGGGAGGCAGCAGUAGGGAAUCUUCCGCAAUGGGCGAAAGCCUGACGGAGCAACGCCGCGUGAGUGAUGAAGGUCUUCGGAUCGUAAAACUCUGUUAUUAGGGAAGAACAUAUGUGUAAGUAACUGUGCACAUCUUGACGGUACCUAAUCAGAAAGCCACGGCUAACUACGU